rnacentral:rRNA from 1 species
UACGGAGGGAGCUAGCGUUGUUCGGAAUUACUGGGCGUAAAGCGCGCGUAGGCGGCUUUGUAAGUUAGAGGUGAAAGCCCGGAGCUCAACUCCGGAACUGCCUUUAAAACUGCAUCGCUUGAAUCCAGGAGAGGUGAGUGGAAUUCCGGGUGUAGCGGUGAAAUGCGUAGAUAUCCGGAGGAACACCGGUGGCGAAGGCGGCUUCCUGGACCGACACUGACGCUGAGGCGCGAAAGCUAGGGGAGCAAACGGG